rnacentral:rRNA from 1 species
UACGUAGGGUGCGAGCGUUGUCCGGAAUUACUGGGCGUAAAGAGCUCGUAGGUGGUUUGUCGCGUUGUUCGUGAAAACCGGGGGCUUAACCCUCGGCGUGCGGGCGAUACGGGCAGACUUGAGUACUGCAGGGGAGACUGGAAUUCCUGGUGUAGCGGUGGAAUGCGCGGAUAUCAGGAGGAACACCGAUGGCGAAGGCAGGUCUCUGGGCAUUAACUGACGCUGAGGAGCGAAAGCAUGGGGAGCGAACAGG